GACAGAGGGUGCAAACGUUGUUCGGAAUUACUGGGCGUAAAGCGAGUGUAGGCGGUUUGGUAAGUCGGAUGUGAAAGCCCCGGGCUCAACCCGGGAAGUGCACUCGAUACUGCCAAGCUAGAGUAUCGGAGAGGUUGGUGGAAUUCUCGGUGUAGAGGUGAAAUUCGUAGAUAUUCGCAAGAACACCAGUGGCGAAGGCGGCUCACUGGCCCGGUACUGACGCUGAGGUGCGAAAGCGUGGGGAGCAAACAGGG
rnacentral:rRNA from 1 species